AAAAUAAUAAUAAUGAUUGUUACUCUUCCCAGCUCCUCUCACCAUGUGGAGGGACCAUCCUACCGAGGAGACAGACUUUGAGGAAGGGUGAACCAAGGGAUGGUCCCUGCUCAGUGUACACAAUCAGGAGUGCUGCCUUGGAGAUGUAGGGUACAUCACAGGCUGGGGGAGGGGAGUCAUGGCCAACUGCCUGAAGUCUUAAGGCAUUCUGCCUGUGUGUGGGCCCUCGAUGUGGUGUAUUUUAGGGCCCAACACAAUUAGAACCUUGAGUGAGCCAGCUCUCAACCUCCCCAACCCCUACAGCCACAUGGUGUUCAAUAAACAGGGGGCUGAGACAAACGGAGAGGGAAGGGGCGGGUGUGCUGUAGGGCAAGUGGAUUAGGGGCAUGGAGGAAGAACUGGGAAGAGGAGGACCAAGAUGAUGCAGCAGAUUCAAGGCAAGCCAGGCAGUUGAAAGAGGUGGCUACAUGAGGAGGGGAGGAGAAGGAAGGAAACCCGGGGUGGUAUGUAACAGGAAAGAAAGUCCCAGGAAGGAGAGGUAUACUGCAAAAAGCAGGAGUUUGGGAGCCAAAUUACAGACUGAGCCACUUUCUAGUUGUGUGACCUUAAGACCUCAGAUUCUCCAGGGUGUUUCAUCUGUAAAAGGGAUGAACAUCAUCUCCAACUCAGAUUAUAUUAUUUAAUAUAAUAAAGAAGAUAAUGCAUCUUAAGCGCUAACUUGAAAUCUUGGCAUACAGAAGAGUAUUUUUUAAACCUGCUAAAAGGCCGGGUGCAGUGGCUCACGCCUGUCUGGAACCUGGGAGGCGGAGGUUGCAGUGAGCAGAGACCACCAACUGCACUCCAGUCUGGGCAACAAGAGUGAAACUCCAUUUCAAAAACAACAACAACAACAAAAACUGCUAAUGCUCAUUCCCGUCUGUCUAAGAUUUUCCCCUUCUCUAUCUUUGGAUUUUCAUAGACCUUAAAUAGAGCAGCUUCAGGGCAUGGGGUGAGGGCUCUGGACUUCAUAUUGCUCUCUUAGUCUUGGGGAACCCUAUGAAAAUGGCCUAAUCUAUUCUUGCCUCUCUGUUCUCUUGAUGGAAAGCCUUUGGAUAUCUGAAUGGGGGGAAAUAGUCCACCAGGGCUUUGACACCAGAGAUUUCACAUCAGAGACAAUGUAUUGCCAUCUAGCUCUUCCACAGGCCAUGGCCACACUUGUCCUGGGCUAUUGUAAUGGCCCCCUGACCAGUCUUUCGUUUCUUUAGACUUUCCCCCCCCAUCAUUUUCCUACAGUUUAUUCCACACAGUUUGUCAGUGUGAGCAAAACCUCACUCAGGAGCCUCCGUGGGCUUCCCAUUGCCCACUAAACCAACUGCCAGCACCUUACCCUGCAUUCUUGUGUUUUCUGCCUGGCAUUAUAGUUUUUGUUUACUUGUUCUAUGGUUCUCACUAGAUUGUAAACUACUUCACAGCAAGAUCUGACUGUUCAUUCAUUCAACAAAUAUUUACUGAGCACUUUCUCUGUGCCAGGCACUGUUUUAGAUGCUGGGGAUCAUCAGAGAAUCAAGCAAAAAUCCAUGCCCCCACAGAACUUACAUUCUACCUAGGAUAUAGGACGGGGUGGCGGAGAUGAUAAACUAUAAAAAUUAGAAUAAAUAAAUUAUAUAGUAUGUUGAAAAGUGAUACAUGCCGUGAGUUGUAAUUACUUUGGAACUCACGUACCUGCCUAUAAAAGUACUCAAGUAAUCUUUAAAAAUUGUGUUUGAUUCUGUUUGAAUAGGGCAAAGUGCUAAGAUUUUGGACUACGAGGUUUGGCGCUGCCAGUGCUCUCAGGACAGGAAGGGCACAGGUCUUGAACCCUGAAGAUGAAGAGAGAUGGAGCAGGUGCUAAUCACCAGGCCUCUUCCAGAGCGGCUGGAGGUAAGUGCCGGGCUCCAGGCUCCAAUCUCCACCCAGAUGGAGAAAGGCCCAGAUUUCAUGGCUAUCCCUGAGGAAUCUGGGUCAGUUCUCUGAUUUGGCCACCAGGGGUCAUUUUACCCCUGUAAAUCACCAUCUGGAGCACUUGGCAUAAAGGCACACACAAAAGGCUACCCUGGACUAAAACAGACACAAACGGAGAACCCUGACACACACACACACACACACACACACACCUCUCUCUCUCUCUCUCUCACACACACACACACACACAUUCUCUCACACACACAGAGUGCGUGCACACACAGAUAAAAAUACAGUAUUGAGACAUAGGGACAGAAAUGCUAUAGGACGCACACAGGGCAACAGCUCCUUCAGUAAUGCCAGGGUCUGAAGAUGUCCACAAGUGCCAACUCUGCAGCCCCUCCGAGCCCCCAACUUGGGUGAAGAGGGAAGGAAUAGCCGGGCACAAUGGCUCAUGCCUGUAAUCCCAGCACUUUGGGACGCAGGCAGAUUCACCUGAGGUCAGGAGUUCGAG
rnacentral:lncRNA from 1 species